rnacentral:rRNA from 2 species
AGGUUAAGUUAACAAGGGCGCAUGGUGAAUGCCUUGGCACUAGGAGCCGAUGAAGGACGGGACUAACACCGAUAUGCUUCGGGGAGCUGUACGUAAGCUAUGAUCCGGAGAUUUCCGAAUGGGGCAACCCAGCAGUUUUAAUCAACUGUUACCACUAGAUGAAUUCAUAGUCUGUUGGAGGUAAACGCUGUGAACUGAAACAUCUCAUUAGCAGCAGGAAUAUAAAGAAAUUUCGAUUCCCUAAGUAGCGGCGAGCGAACGGGGAACAGCCCAAACCAAAGUGCUUGCACUUUGGGGUUGUAGGACUGAACAUUUGAGUUACCAAAGAACUUGAUAGUCGAAGGAUUUGGGAAAAUCCGCCAUAGAUGGUGAUAGCCCAGUAGAUUAAAUCAAAUUCUCUCAGUUCAGGAUCCUGAGUACGGCGGAACACGUGAAAUUCCGUCGGAAUCCGGGAGGACCAUCUCCCAAGGCUAAAUACUACCUAGUGACCGAUAGUGAACCAGUACCGUGAGGGAAAGGUGAAAAGCACCCCGGGAGGGGAGUGAAAUAGUUCCUGAAACCAUGUGCCUACAAUAAGUCAGAGCGCGUUAAUGCGUGAUGGCGUGCCUUUUGUAGAAUGAACCGGCGAGUUAUGAUCCCGUGCAAGGUUAAGACUAAAAAGUCGGAGCCGUAGCGAAAGCGAGUCUGAAAUGGGCGUUUUGAGUACGAGGUUAUAGACCCGAAACCAGGUGACCUAUCCAUGUCCAGGUUGAAGGUGCGGUAAAACGCACUGGAGGACCGAACCCGUGUAAGUUGAAAAUUGCUGGGAUGAGGUGUGGAUAGCGGUGAAAUUCCAAACGAACUUGGAGAUAGCUGGUUCUCUCCGAAAUAGCUUUAGGGCUAGCCUCGGAAUUAGGAUCAUGGAGGUAGAGCACUAUUUGGACUAGGGGCCCGUCUUGGGUUACUGAAUUCAGAUAAACUCCGAAUGCCAUUGAUUCAUAUCCGGGAGUCAGACGAUGAGUGAUAAGAUCCACCGUCGAAAGGGGAACAGCCCAGACCAUCAGUUAAGGUCCCUAAAUGUAUGCUAAGUGGAAAAGGAUGUGGAGUUGCAUAGACAACUAGGAUGUUGGCUCAGAAGCAGCCACCAUUUAAAGAGUGCGUAAUAGCUCACUAGUCGAGUGAUCCUGCGCCGAAAAUGUACCGGGGCUAAGCAUACUACCGAAACCAUGGAUGCGACCAUUAGGUCGCGUGAUAGGAGAGCGUUCUAAGGGCGGUGAAGCAAGAUCGUGAGGACUUGUGGAGCGCUUAGAAGUGAGAAUGCCGGUAUGAGUAGCGAAAGAUAGGUGAGAAUCCUAUCCACCGAAUGACUAAGGUUUCCUGGGGAAGGCUCGUCCUCCCAGGGUUAGUCGGGACCUAAGUCGAGGCCGAGAGGCGUAGACGAUGGAUAACAGGUUGAGAUUCCUGUACUAGUUAAGUGCGUUUGAGCAAUGGAGGGACGCAGGAGGCUAAGAUGUGCAUUCUGUUGGAUUAGAAUGUCCAAGCAGUAAGUCUUGUGAAGAGUCAAAUGCUUUUCACUUUAAGGACAAGCUGUGAUGGGGAGCGAAAUUUAGUAGCGAAGCGUCUGAUGUCACACUGCCGAGAAAAGCUUCUAGUGAGUACUUAACUACCCGUACCGCAAACCGACACAGGUAGUCGAGGAGAGAAUCCUAAGGUGAGCGAGUGAACUCUCGUUAAGGAACUCGGCAAAAUGACCCCGUAACUUCGGGAGAAGGGGUGCUGAUCGCAAGAUCAGCCGCAGUGAAUAGGCCCAGGCGACUGUUUAUCAAAAACACAGGUCUCUGCAAAAUCGUAAGAUGACGUAUAGGGGCUGACGCCUGCCCGGUGCUGGAAGGUUAAAAGGAUGGGUUAGCUUCGGCGAAGCUCAGAAUUGAAGCCCCAGUAAACGGCGGCCGUAACUAUAACGGUCCUAAGGUAGCGAAAUUCCUUGUCGGGUAAGUUCCGACCCGCACGAAAGGCGUAACGAUCUGGGCACUGUCUCAACGAGAGACUCGGUGAAAUUAUAUUGUCCGUGAAGAUGCGGACUACCCGCGACAGGACGGAAAGACCCCAUGGAGCUUUACUGUAGCUUGAUAUUGAGUGUUUGUACAGCUUGUACAGGAUAGGUAGGAGCCAUAGAAACCGGAACGCUAGUUUCGGUGGAGGCGUUGGUGGGAUACUACCCUCGCUGUAUGACCACUCUAACCCGCACCACUAAUCGUGGUGGGAGACAGUGUCAGGUGGGCAGUUUGACUGGGGCGGUCGCCUCCUAAAAAGUAACGGAGGCGCCCAAAGGUUCCCUCAGAAUGGUUGGAAAUCAUUCGCAGAGUGUAAAGGCACAAGGGAGCUUGACUGCGAGACAGACAGGUCGAGCAGGGACGAAAGUCGGGCUUAGUGAUCCGGUGGUACCGUAUGGAAGGGCCAUCGCUCAACGGAUAAAAGCUACCCUGGGGAUAACAGGCUUAUCUCCCCCAAGAGUCCACAUCGACGGGGAGGUUUGGCACCUCGAUGUCGGCUCAUCGCAUCCUGGGGCUGUAGUCGGUCCCAAGGGUUGGGCUGUUCGCCCAUUAAAGCGGUACGCGAGCUGGGUUCAGAACGUCGUGAGACAGUUCGGUCCCUAUCCGUCGCGGGCGUAGGAAAUUUGAGAGGACCUGUCCUUAGUACGAGAGGACCGGGAUGGACAUACCUCUGGUGUACCAGUUGUGCCGCCAGGCGCAUCGCUGGGUAGCUACGUAUGGAUGUGAUAAACGCUGAAAGCAUCUAAGUGUGAAACACACCUCGAGAUGAGAUUUCCCAUUCCUUUAUGGAAGUAAGACCCCUGAAAGAUGAUCAGGUAGAUAGGUUAGAAGUGGCAGUGCGGUGACGCAUGAAGCGGACUAAUACUAAUCGGUCGAGGACUUAACCAAG